CAGGGUAUAGCGCAGCCCGGUAGCGCGUCUGUUUUGGGAACAGAAGGACGCUGGUUCGAAUCCAGCUACCCUGA
rnacentral:tRNA from 1 species